UACUGACUCUGAAAAAUCAGUCCCCAGAACUGCUGUGAAGUACUAAGAUUCAAUGACUUCUUACUACACCAUCUUUCCAUAUUUAAGUCCUACUUCACUUCAGCUUUUGCUUAUGAUCAAUUCCACUAUCCUAUCAUUUGGGGCUUUUCAAAUGGUAAAGGUUUUGAAUUGGUGCUACAGCCCAAAUUUUCAGGUGUCUUUAAAGAGAGAGCAAGGUGUGUGUGGGGGGUGGGGGGGAGGAAGUGGGUGGAAAGCUAUUAUUUAUUCACAGAUGCUUUUAGGAAAAAAAGUCUCACUGUAGCAAUACAGCUGAAACUGGAACCAGAAGAAUAAAAAUGAUCCUUAAGGGGUUUUUUCCCCCCCUAGGGAGAAAUAAUUGUUUCAAGAAAGAAACUGGCAGCGUUCUGG